rnacentral:tRNA from 1 species
GGGGUGUUAGCUCAGCUGGGAGAGCGCUACGCUGGCAGCGUAGAGGUCACGGGUUCGAGCCCCGUACGCUCCA